GCUCACCUAGCUCAGUUGGUAGAGCACUUCCUUGGUAAGGAAGAGGUCGCCGGUUCAAGUCCGGUGGUGAGCU
rnacentral:tRNA from 1 species